UACGGGGGGGGCAAGCGUUGUUCGGAAUUACUGGGCGUAAAGGGCUCGUAGGCGGCCAACUAAGUCGGAUGUGAAAUCCCCAGGCUCAACUUGGGAACUGCAUCCGAUACUGGAUGGCUUGAAUUCGGGAGAGGGAUGCAGAAUUCCAGGUGUAGCGGUGAAAUGCGUAGAUAUCUGGAGGAAUACCGGUGGCGAAGGCGGCAUCCUGGACCGACAUUGACGCUGAGGAGCGAAAGCGUGGGGAGCAAACAGGG
rnacentral:rRNA from 1 species